AGCCUCUGGGUCACCGCAUGAUCUGAGCCCUUUAUAGACGGUGACAAAGAGCUGAAUGAGUUGAUCUAUGGGAACACUGACAGGCUAUAGUCCUCAGACGCUGUACGCUGUGUUAUAAAUCAAAAGAAUAAUGAUAACAGUGUCAUCCUAAACAAAUAAUAUUCAUCUUCAAUAUCAUUCGAAUAUAGUGGUCUGGUAAAAGAAACUCUAAAGAUUAAUCAAUUUGAAAAAUCACUAAUGAGCAGUCAUUAGUUGAUCAUUUGGAAACUUUAAGAGAAGAAAUGACUAACAACAACAUAUGAAAAGAGAUUUGAGAAUGUGGACUUCUCGAAUGGAACCAAGAACGUCAAACCGGAACGUCCCAAAAAUAAGAAAGUCAUGCAGGUUUCGAAAGACUUGAGUGGACAUUUGCGUCAUGUCACCCUGUGGAAGCGCGGACCAGCCCCCUUCAGAGUCAGAACACUAUGCCUGUCACAGGCGGUCACUGCAGGAUCUUUUGUUGAUCAUGUUGAUGUUGCAGUUUCAGCUG